rnacentral:rRNA from 1 species
GAUGAACGCUGGCGGCGUGCUUAACACAUGCAAGUCGAACGAACCUAUUGUUCUUCGGGAUGGUAGGUUAGUGGCGGACGGGUGAGUAACACGUGGGUGACCUGCCUCGAAGUGGGGAAUAACUACUCGAAAGGGUAGCUAAUACCGCAUGUGGUCUAUCAUUCAUUUGGUAGACGAAAGGUCCGUAAGGAUCGCUUCGGGAUGGGCCUGCGUCCGAUUAGGUAGUUGGUGAGGUAAUGGCUCACCAAGCCGAUGAUCGGUAGGGGGCGUGAGAGCGUGGCCCCCCACACUGGCACUGACACACGGGCCAGACACCUACGGGUGGCAG